GAGUGGCGAACGGGUGAGUAAUAUAUCGGAACGUACCCAGUAGCGGGGGAUAACUACUCGAAAGAGUAGCUAAUACCGCAUACGCCCUACGGGGGAAAGGGGGGGAUCUUCGGACCUCUCACUAUUGGAGCGGCCGAUAUCGGAUUAGCUAGUUGGUGGGGUAAAGGCUCACCAAGGCGACGAUCCGUAGCUGGUUUGAGAGGACGACCAGCCACACUGGGACUGAGGCACGGCCCAGACUCCUACGGGAGGCAGCAGUGGGGAAUUUUGGACAAUGGGGGCAACCCUGAUCCAGCCAUCCCGCGUGUGCGAUGAAGGCCUUCGGGUUGUAAAGCACUUUUGGCAGGAAAGAAAUCGCACGGGUUAAUAACCUGUGUGGAUGACGGUACCUGCAGAAUAAGCACCGGCUAACUACGUGCCAGCAGCCGCGGUAAUACGUAGGGUGCAAGCGUUAAUCGGAAUUACUGGGCGUAAAGCGUGCGCAGGCGGUUCGGAAAGAAAGAUGUGAAAUCCCAGGGCUUAACCUUGGAACUGCAUUUUUAACUACCGGGCUAGAGUAUGUCAGAGGGGGGUGGAAUUCCGCGUGUAGCAGUGAAAUGCGUAGAUAUGCGGAGGAACACCGAUGGCGAAGGCAGCCCCCUGGGAUAAUACUGACGCUCAUGCACGAAAGCGUGGGGAGCAAACAGGAUUAGAUACCCUGGUAGUCCACGCCCUAAACGAUGUCAACUAGCUGUUGGGGCCUUCGGGCUUUAGUAGCGCAGCUAACGCGUGAAGUGACCGCCUGGGA
rnacentral:rRNA from 1 species